rnacentral:rRNA from 1 species
UACGGAGGAUCCAAGCGUUAUCCGGAUUUAUUGGGUUUAAAGGGAGCGUAGGUUGACAUAUAAGUCAGCUGUGAAAGUUUACGGCUCAACCGUGAAAUUGCAGUUGAUACUGUACGUCUUGAGUGUACAAGAGGUGGGCGGAAUUCGUGGUGUAGCGGUGAAAUGCUUAGAUAUCACGAAGAACUCCAAUUGCGAAGGCAGCUCACUGGGGUACAGCUGACACUGAGGCUCGAAAGUGUGGGUAUCAAACAGGAUUAGAUACCCUGGUAGUCCACACAGUAAACGAUGAAUACUCGCUGUUUGCGAUAUACAGUAAGCGGCCAAGCGAAAGCAUUAAGUAUUCCACCUGGGGAGUACGCCGGCAACGGUGA